rnacentral:lncRNA from 1 species
AUUUUUUUUGUAGGGAAAACUCGGUUUUUAUACGGAAAAUUUGGUUUUUGUAGGGAAAUUCGGUUUUUAUACAGAAAAUUCGGUUUUUGUAGGGAAAAUUCGGGUUUUGCAGGGAAAAUUCGGUUUUUGUAGGGAAAAUUCGGUUUUUAUAAGCAAAAUUCGGUCUUUGCAGAGAAAAUUCGUUUUUUGUAGGGAAAAUUCGGUUUUUAUAAGCAAAAUUUAGUUUUUGUAGGGAAAAUUCGGUUUUUGCAGAGAAAAUUCGAUUUUUUUGUAGGGAAAAUUCGGUUUUUAUAUGGAAAACUCGGUUUUUGUAGGGAAAUUCGGUUUUUAUAGGGAAAAUUCAGUUUUUGUAGGGAAAAUUCGGUUUUUGCAGAGAAAAUUCGAUUUUUUGGUAGGGAAAAUUCAGUUUUUAUAGGGAAAACUCGGUUUUUGUAGGGAAAUUCGGUUUUUAUACAGAAAAUUCGGUUUUUAUAGGGAAAAUUCGGUUUUUGCAGGGAAAACUCGGUUUUUAUAUGGAAAAUUUGGUUUUUGUAGAGAAAAUUCAUUUUUAAUAGGGAAAAUUCAGUUUUUAUAGGGAAAAUUUGGUUUUGGCAGGGAACUUCCUCCUCCUCCUCUUCCUCCUCAUUGUCCCCAUGUCUGGAGGUGACGCCUUCCUCCCCCUCCUCCUCCUCCUCCUCCUCGUUGUUCCUACACCCAGAGCUGCCUUCCUCCUCCUCCUCCUCCUCCUUCUUCUCCUUCCUCCUCCUCCUCCUCGUUGUUCAUACACCCAGAGCUGCCUUCCUCCUCCUCCUCCUCCUCCUCCUCUUUCUUCUCCUCCACCUUCUUGUUGUCCCCUAUGUCCAAAUGUGACGCCUUCCUCCUCCUCGUUCUUCUCCUCUUCCUCCUCCUCCUCCUUCUCCUC